rnacentral:lncRNA from 1 species
CAUUAUCGUUGUCGGGUAAAAAAUACAAUACGCGAUUAACAUGUUUUCCAAGACAAAGUUAACUUCAAGCAAUUUUAUCAGUAGAUAUACAAAGGUCACCAGCUAAUUUAUCUUUACAACGAACUCCACAAUCGACACAAUUCAAGUAGUUCGUGGUGAAAUUACUGUGUGGACGUCUAAUAUCUAAUAAUGAAAUCAAUACAGUUUAUGUGUUUGACGUUAUUAAUAUACAUUUCAUCAUGCAUGGGUAGAGAUAUGAUGGUGGGCACAAGUUACAAUGCGCAGUUAGUUUGGCACCAGAAAGCAGAGUACGCUGGUAUUCCCUUCAUGAAAAGAGUCAAAGAAAUGUUCUAUUCCGACCCGUCCCAAAAAAUCAUAAAAGGAGUAAUUGCACGAGACAUCGACCACAGUGAAUCUUCUGCCAUCAUCACGGCUGGUGGCGUUGGCUUUACAUAUGUUAACCUCCGAUUUAAAAGUGAACGUGGGAGCUCCCUGAACUAUGAAGUGGAAAUAUACGUUUAAUGUGUUUUGUUAAAAGUUAUUUUUGUAUAACACGAUUAAAUGGUUAAGAUAAGAAA